UUUGCAUUAAUGAAGCCUACACAGAAAACCUUCCUGAGGAUUUGUGUGGACCUGAUAUUUAGCAGA
rfam:Ovis aries breed Texel chromosome 1, whole genome shotgun sequence.